GUUUUGAAUAACAGUAGUUGCUUUGGAAAAUUGUGUUCGAAUACUAGCAAUUAUAAGAACAAUAAAUAAAAUUCCAAAUUUGAAAUCCAGAAAAUUACAACCCACAUAAAAUAAUUUAAAGGUAAUAAUCAAAACUGUAACAUAAACAGUGUGUAUGGCUUCCUCCGAGCCCCUAGCAACCCCGAUCCAUCAAAGGCUGGAAAUUACCUGAAAGGUUAAUAAACGGGGUGAGUUUACGAAAACUCAGUGUGAAAUCCCCUACUAUAAAAAGGAACAGUCAAUCAUCUAAAAGAAUUAAAAGUCUGGCCCCAGCCUUACUUACAAUUUCAGUACCAAUCGGGUCUGAACCCAUUACAACAGACAGUACCAGAUGGACCUUAGCCAAUUACAGAAUAAGAAACAUUAUCAGAAUUGGAACCAAAAUGAGAAUCAGAAUCAGAAUCAGUAACAGAAUCAGAAUCAGAAUCAAUAUUAGUAACAGAAUCAGAAUCAGAAUCAGAAUUAGGUGACAGAAUCAGAAUCAGAAUCAGUAACAGAAUCAGAAUCAAAAUCAGUAUUAGUAACAGAAUCAGAAUCAGAAUCAGAAUUACGUAACAGAAUCAGAAUCAGAAUGUGAAUGCAAUCCCAACCCAAUCCAGCCGUAUACACCCCCGUACAAACCUUACACCAUGUGGGGAGACAACUCGACCCACCCAUCCGCUACACACCACAAAAUUUGCAGCAUGGCUGCCAGAACAGAUAUCGUGACAGAGUCACCAGAUACAGAUAUUGUGGCAGAGCCACCAGAACAGAUAUUUGUGGCAUAGCCACCAGAACGCUUCCUCUGUACAAAAUCCCAACCCAUGCAACAUGUCAUGUAUGCAGAAUGUCAUGCCCAUAUUUGAAUCAAACAAUCACAGUCAAGUCAUUCAUAUCACCAACAUAUAUUCACAAUCAAAUCCGUCAAACACACAGUCCAAGUCAAUCACUUGCCCACAAGGGCAAAAUAGUCAUUUAACACCCUAGGGGCAAAAUAGUAAUUUUACCCCACAAGGGUAUCUCGGUAAUUCUACCCUACAGGGGUAUUUCGGUAUUUCUACCCUACAAGGGUAUUUUGAUAAUUCUACCCUACAAGGGUAUUUUGGUAAUUCUAUCCUAUAAGGGUAUUUCAGUAAUUCUACCCUAUAGGGGUAUUUCGAAAACUCUACCCUACAGGGGUAUUUCAGUAAUUUCACAAUCAAGGGUAAAAAGAUAAUUCUGUAAAUCGAGGGUAAAACGAUAAUUUUGUAAACUGAGGGUAAACCAGUAAUUCUAUAAAUCAAGGGUAAAACAGUAAUUUUACAAAUCGAUGGUAAAACGAUAAUUUUGUAAACUGAGGGUAAACCAGUAAUUCUGUAAAUUAAGGGUAAAACAUUAAUUUUACAAAUUGAGGGUAAAACAGUAAUUCUGUAAAUCGAGGGUAAAACAGUAAUUCUGUAAACUGAUGGUAAAACGGUAAUUCUAUAAAUCGAGGGUAAAAUGGUAAUUCUGUAAACUGAGGAUAAAAUGGUAAUUCUGUAAACUAAGGGUAAAACGGUAAUUCUGUAAAUCGAAGGUAAAAUGGUAAUUUUACAAAUCGAGGGUAAAACGGUAAUUCUAUAAAUCAAGGGUAAAACAGUAAUUCUAUAAACUGAGGGUAAAACGGUAAUUCUGUAAAUCGAGGGUAAAACGGUAAUUCUGUAAAUUGAGGGUAAAACGGUAAUUUUAUAAAUCGAGGGUAAAAUGGAAAUUCUAUAAAUCGAGGGUAAAACGGUAAUUUUACAAAUCGAGGGUAAAACAAUAAUUCUAUAAAUCGAGGGUAAAACAGUAAUUGGUAAACUAAAGUAUCUAAGCAUGGAUAACAAUACGAAUGGGCCUAAAACCUAUUCUCGACCCAAAUGGGCCCACACGCUCGUGUGGCCCUUGUAGCCCAAACCUAGCCACAGAUAUGAGAUUCACUUAGCCUAGUCCAAUAUUUACUACACAAUCAAACAACUUACCCAAUUGGGCCCGUAGGCCCAUUGGGCCCACAUGGCCUCUUUCGGCCCAUCGCGGCCCGAAGUAGCCAUCCAACAAUAAGAGUAGUGAUAAAUACACACCUGAUUAGAGACUGGAGUUAAUCCACGCUCCGAGCACUCUUAGCCAACGCCCAACCCAAACGAGCACGCCAUAAAGCGAAAGGGAUCAGCCAAGAAAGGUACCUUUACUCUCCUCAUGGUUCUCUUUAUUUAAGGCCAGCUUCCCAUCCACUCUUAUGUUAGCUUCCCGAUGUGGGAUCCCUCCAACAUCAGAGUUUAAAUUCAACACCAACUCUUACCGCCCCCUGUUAGCAAAAUAAAUGCUCUUUGCUUGCUAUGGGAUUCGAACCCAUGCCUCCCCUCAAAUGCUCCACACGCCACUUGCCACUAAGCCAUAAGGUUUUUUGUGUCACAAUUUCUCCAACAAUAUUCUUAAGGCCUACCUACUACACCCAGGGUUUGAUUCACCUUAAACCAAAUUUUUUGCUAGAGUCUAGGUUUAAACCCAGGACUUCUCCAACACUUCUCAACACACUUAACCACUAAAACAAGCCUUCAUUAACGAAAUUUGCAUGCACAACAGAAUAUUAUAAGCUGCCUUCAACCGCUCCCAUGCUCAAGGCCUAAAACUUCUAGGCCCAAAUUCAGGGUGUUACAACUCUACCUCCUUUAAAGAAAUUUCGUCCUCGAAAUUUCCAUCUAACAGGGUAGUCGUGUAACAUCUACCCCACUACGCUACCGCUGCGCACUCUGAUCCUACUAUCACUAUCACACUUCAACUAGAACUUGAAACAUCUCAUACAUACAACACUUAUUCACUGAAGUAGACACAUAUUAACAGUCAGUCAUCUAAAAGAAUUAAAAGUCUGGCCCCAGCCUUACUUACAAUUUCAGUACCAAUCGGGUCUUAACCCAUUACAACAAAGAGUACCAGAUGGACCUUAGCCCAUUACAGAAUAAGAAACAUUAUCAGAAUUGGAACCAAAAUGAGAAUCAGAAUCAGAAUCAGUAACAGAAUCAGAAUCAGAAUCAAUAUUAGUAACAGAAUCAGAAUCAGAAUCAGAAUUAGGUGACAGAAUCAGAAUCAGAAUCAAUAACAGAAUCAGAAUCAGAAUCUGUAUUAGUAACAGAAUCAGAAUCAGAAUCAGAAUCAGAAUCAGAAUUACGUGACAGAAUCAGAAUCAGAAUGUGAAUGCAAUCCUAACCCAAUCCAGCCGUAUACACCCCCGUACACACCUUACACCAUGUGGGGAGACAACUCGACCCACCCAUCCGCUACACACCACAGAAUUUGGAGCAUGGCUGCCAGAAUAGAUAUCGUGAUAGUCACCAGAUACAGAUAUUGUGGCAGAGCCACCAGAACAGAUAUUUGUGGCAUAGCCACCAGAACGCUUCCUCCGUACAAAAUCCCAACCCAUGCAACAUGUCAUGUAUGCAGAAUGUCAUGCCCAUAUUUAAAUCAAACAAUCAAAGUCAAGUCAUUCAUAUCACCAACAUAAAUUCACAAUCAAAUCCGUCAAACACACACUCCAAGUCAGUCACUUGCCCACAAGGGCAAAACAGUCAUUUAACACCCUAGGGACAAAAUGGUAAUUUUACCCCACAAGGGUAUCUCGGUAAUUCUACCCUACAGGGGUAUUUCGGUAUUUCUACCCUACAAGGGUAUUUCGAUAAUUCUACCCUACAGGGGUAUUUUGGUAAUUCUAUCCUAUAAGGAUAUUUCAGUAAUUCUACCCUAUAGGGGUAUUUCAGAAACUCUACCCUACAGGGGUAUUUCAGUAAUUUCACAAUCAAGGGUAAAACGGUAAUUCUGUAAAUCGAGGGUAAAAUGAUAAUUUUGUAAACUGAGGGUAAACCAGUAAUUCUAUAAAUCAAGGGUAAAACAGUAAUUUUACAAAUCAAGGGUAAAACGAUAAUUUUGUAAACUGAGGGUAAAGCAGUAAUUCUGUAAAUCAAGGGUAAAACAGUAAUUUUACAAAUCGAGGGUAAAACGAUAAUUCUAUAAAUCGAGGGUAAAAUAGUAAUUCUGUAAACUGAGGGUAAAACAGUAAUUCUGUAAAUCGAGGGUAAAAUGGUAAUUCUAUAAACUGAGGGUAAAAUGGUAAUUCUGUAAACUGAGGGUAAAACGGUAAUUCUGUAAAUCGAAGGUAAAAUGGUAAUUUUACAAAUUGAGGGUAAAACGGUAAUUCUAUAAAUCGAGGGUAAAAUAGUAAUUCUAUAAACUGAGGGUAAAACGGUAAUUCUGUAAAUCGAGGGUAAAACGAUAAUUCUAUAAACUGAGGGUAAAACGGUAAUUCUGUAAAUCGAGGGUAAAACGGUAAUUCUAUAAACUGAGGGUAAAACGAUAAUUCUGUAAAUCGUGGGUAAAACGGUAAUUUUACAAAUUGAGGGUAAAACGGUAAUUUUACAAAUCGAGGGUAAAACGGUAAUUCUAUAAAUCGAGGGUAAAACAGUAAUUGGUAAACUAAAGUAUUCUAAACAUGGAUAACAAUACAAAUGGGCCUAAAGCCUAUUCUCGGCCCAAAUGGGCCCACACGCUCGUGUGGCCCUUGUAGCCCAAACCUAGCCACAGAUAUGAGAUUCACUUAGCCUAGUCCAAUAUUUACUACACAAUCAAACAACUUACCCAAUUGGGCCCGUAGGCCCAUUGGGCCUACAUGGCCCCUUUCGGCCCAUCGCGGCCGAAGUAGCCAUCCAACAACAAGAGUAGUGAUAAAUACACACCUGAUUGGAGACUGGAGUUAAUCCACGCUCCGAGCACUCUUAGCCGACGCCCAACCCAAACGAGCACGCCAUAAAGCGAAAGGGAUCAGCCAAG
rnacentral:lncRNA from 1 species